CCUACGGGAGGCAGCAGUGGGGGAUAUUGCACAAUGGGGGGAACCCUGAUGCAGCGACGCCGCGUGGGUGAAGAAGUACUUCGGCAUGUAAAGCCCUAUCAGCAGGGAAGAAAAUGACGGUACCUGAACAAGAAGCCCCGGCUAACUACGUGCCAGCAGCCGCGGUAAUACGUAGGGGGCAAGCGUUAUCCGGAUUUACUGGGUGUAAAGGGGGCGCAGACGGGGAUGCAAGUCUGGAGUGAAAGCCCGGGGCCCAACCCCGGGACUGCUCUUGGAACUGUGUAGCUGGAGUGCAGGAGGGGCAGGCGGAAUUCCUGGUGUAGCGGUGAAAUGCGUAGAUAUCAGGAGGAACACCGGCGGCGAAGGCGGCCUGCUGGACUGCAACUGACGUUGAGGCUCGAAAGCGUGGGGAGCAAACAGGAUUAGAUACCCUAGUAGUC
rnacentral:rRNA from 1 species